UGCAGUAAGGUCACAGAUUACGACAUCACCUGUUUAAAAGGCAUGCAAAAGCUUUCUAUUUUGAACUUGGAGGGCUGCUCGGUUACUGCUUCAUGCCUGGAUUCUCUUUCUGUUCUUGCAUCUCUGUUAUAUUUGAAUCUUAGCAGGUGCAAUUUCUCUGAUGAUGGAUGCGAGAGGUUUUCUAGUAAGUUGGCUUCAUGCUUUCCCUAUUACGCAUAUGUAAAAAUUCUUAGAUGGC